UUCACGGUGUUCAUCGAACAGAGCUUAUAUUGCAGUCUACGACCUCUCCGUUCAGCACAUAAUCAUUUUGCCAUCGCAGUCGAUGAAGCUCUGCCCGCUGUUCCGCGCAUGUAGACAUUCUUUUGGUCAGGAAUAUAAUUAUAGUAUUGGUCGUUUUAUUAUUCUGCCCAUAUCGUGUACGAGAAGGCAUUCCAAAUCCGGGAGAACUGAAGAGCACGUUGGUGGACGCCAGUAACAAGCGCGACCACUUAAACUAUGGGCACCAACGCAAGAGACGGCCUACAGUGGCUUCGAGACAUUCGUUCAGAGACUUCAGAGUUUGCUCGACCCAUCCUACCACGGUACCCACUCAGCCAACUCAUCCCCGCAGGAAUUGGUCCAGAAAGAGAGGAGGAAUUCCGAAGAGUAGUGCGGGAGAUGCUGUUCGAUUUCAUCGAUGCUCAUCCUGAGCUCACCAUCGAGUUUUGCUAUCAGCUUAUACUAGGCACCUACAGGUAAUGGUUGAUCCAGUGCAAUCUACAGAAUGAGCGACGUGGAAGCAAGAGUGCCACCAGUGCUAUGAAACGUGUGAACACUGAACGUUGAAAUAGCAACAUAAUUCCAAACCACGCAAGUUCAUAAUGCAUUGAUUGAAAAAAUCCGCCCUGAAAAAGUGCUAGAAAAAGAAUGUAUUCUCGAUCUUGGAAUUGUACAUAAUUAUGGUCAGCAGGAUGUGACGUCGUUUUUUUGUUGUUUUUUGUUUUUGUUUUUUCUCUUUUUUUGCGUUUUUCACACAUACAAUUGUUCUGAUAUUUUGGGGUUGUGUUCUAAUCAUUCACCAUGCCACUGUCAAUUGUAUUCUGUUUGCCCGUAAAAGAGGCCUGUACUAUGUGACGUCAUUGAAUUUCACAGCACAUGUAAUGAGUUCGUUUUGUUUUGUAGCUACUUGUCACACGUUCUUACUUAAAAUCUACCUGGUUAUACUUCUGGGGAGAUCCUCUUAAUUCUUAUCCAUGUGUUGAUUCAUUUUAUUAUUUUAUUACACUUCAAUUCAAUAACUUUUCUUUCUCUCUGUGAUGUGCUUACUGAUGGUGGUCUCUAAAAAGCGGCAUAGAAUAUGCAUGAACAUGUGUAGCCUUGCUUUGUGUGCAUAAUCGGCUCUUGUGCACAUGUAUUGUUUUGCUACGCAUUUUCAUCACAUGCCAUGCCAUGCACAUCACUUCAUUUUGUCACUUGUUAUUGUAUUGAUAACUGAUUUUGCUUCGUUG